rnacentral:rRNA from 1 species
CCCUUAGAUGUUCUGGGCCGCACGCGCGCUACACUGAUUCAUGCAACAAGUUUUGUCCUUGGCUGAUAGGCCUGGGUAAUCUUUGAACGUGAAUCGUGAUGGGGAUAGAUGAUUGCAAUUAUUCAUCUUCAACGAGGAACUCCUAGUAAACGCAAGUCAUCAGCUUGCAUUGAUUACGUCCCUGCCCUUUGUACACACCGCCCGUCGCACCUACCGAUUGAAUGGUCCGGUGAAAUCUUCGGAUCUGAGAGAUGUCUGAUUAAUUUCGGACGCCUUUUGGAAAAGUUGCUUAAACCUUACCAUUUAGAGGAAGGUGAAGUCGUAACA